CUCUUCUCCACCCUCUGGUGCUCAACUGUGUGGUUCAAACAAUUUGAUGGUGUGCACCACAAAAUAGUUGACGAGGAUCACCAUCAAAUCGCACUCUUCAGGCUCUUCGAUAUCCUUUGAUGGACUUCGAACACCUGGAUUGGACUUUUCCUUCCCAAACAGCCAGGUUGGCUUGUCCAAUUGCACGGAACAAAAACAUAUCGGAAUCAGCGUUGUUUCUCAACUACAUAGACGGCGAAUUUGGCGCUGACAACCCACGUCGGCUCCUAUAAAUUGAUCUCCCGAGUCCCUUCUUCCGUUCCUGUGGCUUCCCAUCUCAAAUUGACAUGAUAGUGAUAUCUAACCAAUGUCAUAAUUGUGGAUCGCAUACCGCAUUGAUAGAAUAAUUGACUAAUGUGGAGAUUAUUGUCUUCCUAUUGUGGUUGAAUAAAUGCCGUUACGAAGGA